GACGAACGCUGGCGGCGUGCUUAACACAUGCCAGUCGAACGGAAAGGCCCUGCUUUUGUGGGGUGCUCGAGUGGCGAACGGGUGAGUAACACGUGAGUAACCUGCCCUUGACUUUGGGAUAACUUCAGGAAACUGGGGCUAAUACCGGAUAGGAGCUCCUGCUGCAUGGUGGGGGUUGGAAAGUUUCGGCGGUUGGGGAUGGACUCGCGGCUUAUCAGCUUGUUGGUGGGGUAGUGGCUUACCAAGGCUUUGACGGGUAGCCGGCCUGAGAGGGUGACCGGCCACAUUGGGACUGAGAUACGGCCCAGACUCCUACGGGAGGCAGCAGUGGGGAAUAUUGCACAAUGGGCGGAAGCCUGAUGCAGCAACGCCGCGUGCGGGAUGACGGCCUUCGGUUGUAAACCGCUUUCGCCUGUGACGAAGCGUGAGUGACGGUAAUGGGUAAAGAAGCACCGGCUAACUACGUG
rnacentral:rRNA from 1 species